rnacentral:rRNA from 1 species
CCCUAGGUGAACCUGCGGAAGGAUCAUUGU